AUCUCCGAGACCUGAAGCGUGUGCACCGAGUGUCUUCAACUAUGUUUAAGUUUUAGACCAACGCCGGCCUUGGACAUGCGCACUUUCAAUUUAGAAUUACAAAUGGCGGAAGAAGGAAUACACGAAGUUCGACAGAGUACAAAUGCAUCAUGGCAUCAAUGCAGUACAAAUGCAUGGCGGAACGCAGAACGUUUUAAAAGAACAGAUCGGCGCUUUCCUUCGGCGUUUGAUGACGUCAUAUUUUACGGCGCACAUUUCUAUGCCGCAAAUGUCGCGUAUAAAAGCAGAUUUGCGAGGUAGACCUGCCUUUAUACGCGACACAUUGAAUUUUUAGAAGACAACUGUUUCGGUUCCCUCUUGCAAGAUAGACUGAACAAGCUGCAUAUGGG
rnacentral:lncRNA from 1 species